rfam:Drosophila sechellia strain Rob3c scaffold_1 genomic scaffold, whole genome shotgun sequence.
GCCUUUGUGAUGAACAUCUUUUUAAAGCCAAACAGUUAUCCCUGUCAUAAGAAUAAUUGAUGAUACAAUAAUCUGACAAAAUA